UACGGGGGGGGCAAGCGUUGUUCGGAAUUACUGGGCGUAAAGGGCUCGUAGGCGGCCAACUAAGUCGGACGUGAAAUCCCUCGGCUUAACCGGGGAACUGCGUCCGAUACUGGAUGGCUUGAGUUUGGGGAGGAGGGAUGCGGAAUUCCAGGUGAUAGCGGUGAAAUGCGUAGAGAUCCGGAAGAACACCGGUGGCGAAGGCGGUGAGCUGGGCAGUGCUGGACACUGAUGCGCGACGAGCGUGGGGAGCAAACAGGG
rnacentral:rRNA from 1 species